CACCAGCAAAAGGAAUUUGCUUCCUUUUCCUCCUCAGACGCUCUUUUAUCCAAGCAACCAUGACCCCUUUGCUAAGCUUCCUCUUCUUAGCAGCAGUGUUAUCAGGUGUCCGGUCCCAAAUCCAGUUUGUCCAGUCUGGGGCAGAAAUCAAAAAGCCUGGAGAGUCUAUGAAGCUGACCUGUAAAGCAUCCGGCUACACAUUUAAUGAGUACCGAAUGAGCUGGGUCCGACAGGCUCCCGGGAAAGGACUGGAGUGGGUAGCAUCCAUCAGGACAGAUACUUUCGAGACCUUCUAUCCCCAAAAUCUGAAAGGGCGAGUCACCAUCAGCGUGGAUGUCCCCCUCAGCACAGCGUAUUUGCAAAUGAACGGCCUGAAAUCUGAAGACACUACUGUGUAUUACUGUGCGAGACGCACACUUUGUGAUCUCCCCUCCACCUACACAAAAACGGAUGCCCAGACGCAGAACCAAGGAGGUGUUGGGAAGAAGUUUCCCCUCGUGUGCAGAGUAUUCUAG